rnacentral:rRNA from 1 species
UACGAAGGGGGCUAGCGUUGUUCGGAAUCACUGGGCGUAAAGGGCGCGUAGGCGGCCUUCUAAGUCAGACGUGAAAGCCCUGGGCUCAACCCAGGAACUGCAUUUGAAACUCCCUUUCUUGAGUGUCGGAGAGGAAAGCGGAAUUCCUGGUGUAGAGGUGAAAUUCGUAGAUAUCAGGAGGAACACCGGUGGCGAAGGCGGCUUUCUGGACAGAUACCGACGCUGAGGCACGAAAGCUAGGGGAGCAAACAGG